GAUAAAUUACGCUGCAGCCUUUCCUUCGGCCACUUCACUGCGGGAGAGAUUACGAUAGAGGGAGCGUGGCCUGCGAGACUGCUGAAGGUUUAAACUACUGGGCUAAGCUUUGCUCCAUUAUUGUUCUUCUUGUAUCUGUGGAAGACAUUUCUGCUUCUGGAAUGUUUGCGUGUAGGCCAUGGGUGCUUGACAACGGUGUCCAGCUUCAGAAGGCUAAAUGUGACGACUACCUGUUGCGGCUGCAGCGCAUGAUUGAACUUUUCUGUGCCUUGGCAGUCUGGGGAAGUGGGUGAUUUUCCAGAUAAGGGUCAAAUCUGAAGUUUAGUUGGAGAAUGGGCUCAUGAUCAUGUGACUGCAUUCUAGAGGUUAAAAUCAGAGUCUGCAUCCAGUUCCAGGUCCACAUUAGACUUCAUAAACUGCUGGUGGAAUGUAGUGCUGUCUUCUGCAAAAGGGGCUUGCUUCCUUGAACAUCAGGGCUGCCUUUUCAAGAAUAGGAGAACUAGACAAACUUGGUGGAAUUUUUCAGGUGGAUCUGCUGAGUUGGAUAACUUCUAAACAGGAGAUCUCAACCUGCGCAUGUGCAAAAACAGGCAGUGGUACUGGAAAUAAGAAAGCAGCUGUGAGGUGGCAGCAAAACACUGAGUGAUGCUGAAACCAACUAUAUGCUUGAAAUAAAGAAUUUAAAUUUAUCAAUAUUCAA